rnacentral:rRNA from 1 species
GGGUGGUAAUGCCGAAUGUUCCACAUGCUCGCAUGGGUGUGUGGGAAAACGUUUUAGUGCUAUGCGAUGGGAUCGCGUCCUAUCAGCUUGUUGGUGGGGUAGUGGCCUACCAAGGCUUCGACGGGUAGCCGGCCUGAGAGGGCGACCGGCCACAUUGGGACUGAGAUACGGCCCAGACUCCUACGGGAGGCAGCAGUGGGGAAUAUUGCACAAUGGGGGGAACCCUGAUGCAGCGACGCCGCGUGCGGGAUGACGGCCUUCGGGUUGUAAACCGCUUUUAUUGGGGAGCAAGCGUGAGUGAGUGUACCUUUUGAAUAAGCACCGGCUAACUACGUGCCAGCAGCCGCGGUAAUACGUAGGGUGCAAGCGUUGUCCGGAAUUAUUGGGCGUAAAGAGCUCGUAGGCGGUUUGUCGCGUCUGGUGUGAAAGUCCAUCGCUUAACGGUGGAUUGGCGCUGGGUACGGGCAGGCUAGAGUGUAGUAGGGGAGACUGGAAUUCUCGGUGUAACGGUGGAAUGUGUAGAUAU